CAGGAGAAGCUGGCUAUUGAGGCAGAGAGACGACGCAUUCAGGAGAAGAAGGAUGAGGACAUAGCUCGCCUUUUGCAAGAAAAGGAGUUACAGGAAGAGAAAAAGAGAAAGAAACACUUUCCAGAGUUCCCUGCAACCCGUGCUUAUGCAGAUAGUUACUAUUAUGAAGAUGGAGGUAACAAUUCCUGCAUCAUGAUCUAUUCUAUCCUUAGACUCAACCAUAAAACACUCCUUUAAUUUUGUUCAUAAAGUGACCUUAGGGACCUGGGACUGUUUCUCUUAUCCCCAGGCACUGGGUACAUUUAGAUGUGUGGCAGGAUUCUAUUUGAAUCUAAUAAAUUCAUGUUUUGUUUUGUUUUGUUUUUAUUAUACUUUAAGUUUUAGGGUACAUGUGCACAACGUGCAGGUUUGUUACAUAUA
rnacentral:lncRNA from 10 species